GAUAGGAUUACGUUCCAACUGUGUUCUAUAACUUCAGUGCCAAUGUGGUGGUAGAUGGUAACACAGUGAACCUUGGCCUGUAGGACACUGCCGGGCAAGAAGAUUACAACAGGCUAAGGCCUCUUAGUUAUAGAGGAGCUGAUGUGUUUUUGCUGGCGUUUUCUCUGAUAAGCAAGGCCAGUUAUGAAAACAUCUACAAAAAGUGGAUCCCUGAGCUAAGAUAUUAUGCUCCUAAUGUACCAGUUGUGCUUGUCGGAACCAAACUAGAUCUGAGAGGUCACAAGCAGUACUUGAAUGGUCACCCAGGAUCAACAGCGAUAUCAACUUCUCAGUGAGCAGGGAGAGGAGCUGAAGAAGAUGAUAGGAUCAGUUGCUUGCAUAGAAUGCAGUUCCAAAACCCAACAGAACGUGAAGGCAGUGUUCGAUGCUGCAAUAAAGGUAGCUUUGAAGCCACCAAAACCAAAGAGAAAUUCUUGCAGGCCAAGAUCAUGUGCUUUCCUUU